rnacentral:lncRNA from 1 species
UUGACACUCAGCUAACUUCUUUGCAGCAGCUGCCAAUUAUCUCUCCUGCAAAAUAUAUUCAUAUAACGUGCAUAUAUUAAAAUAGUACUCUAGGUUAUCGUUACGAUGAGAGUUGAACGCGCCCUUUAGAAAAAUACGAAAAAAAUAUAACUAACCUGUAGAGAAUCCUGUCAUUUUGUUACAAACGGUAAAAGCGACAUCAAAGUAAGCUACAAGAGCAUGAAUGUAAUCAUCACGCUCGGCCACAAGCUUGAAAGGCGCUGUAAACGAUGCAUCCCCAGACGUCAUCUUGGAGAUAUUCAUGCUCUCUUAAGUAACUGAAAAUUUGUAACGAUCUGAUUCUGGUCAACUGUGUCAACAAGAGGUUCCAUCAUCGAUUGCUUCCUGAUGCAGCACAUAUCAAAGCCAUACACAUUUU